rnacentral:rRNA from 1 species
CCUACGGGAGGCUGCAGUGGGGAAUAUUGGACAAUGGGGGCAACCCUGAUCCAGCCAUGCCGCGUGUGUGAAGAAGGCCCUCGGGUUGUAAAGCACUUUCAGUGAGGAAGAACGCCUGGUGGUUAAUACCCAUCAGGAAAGACAUCACUCACAGAAGAAGCACCGGCUAACUCCGUGCCAGCAGCCGCGGUAAUACGGAGGGUGCGAGCGUUAAUCGGAAUUACUGGGCGUAAAGCGCGCGUAGGUGGCUUGAUAAGCCGGUUGUGAAAGCCCCGGGCUCAACCUGGGAACGGCAUCCGGAACUGUCAAGCUAGAGUGCAGGAGAGGAAGGUAGAAUUCCCGGGGUAGCGGUGAAAUGCGUAGAGAUCGGGAGGAAUACCAGUGGCGAAGGCGGCCUUCUGGACUGACACUGACACUGAGGUGCGAAAGCGUGGGUAGCAAACAGGAUUAGAUACCCUAGUAGUC